ACGCGUGAGAAUCUAGCUUCAGGUCGGGGACAACCCCUGGAAACGGUGGCUAAUACCGGAUGUGCCGAAAGGUGAAAGAUUUAUUGCCUGAAGAUGAGCUCGCGUCUGAUUAGCUAGUUGGUGUGGUAAGAGCGCACCAAGGCGACGAUCAGUAGCUGGUCUGAGAGGAUGAUCAGCCACACUGGGACUGAGACACGGCCCAGACUCCUACGGGAGGCAGCAGUGGGGAAUUUUCCGCAAUGGGCGAAAGCCUGACGGAGCAAUACCGCGUGAGGGAGGAAGGCUCUUGGGUUGUAAACCUCUUUUCUCAGGGAAUAAAAAAAUGAAGGUACCUGAGGAAUAAGCAUCGGCUAACUCCG
rnacentral:rRNA from 1 species